UCUUCAUUAAUGGUCUGAGUGCUCAUAUCCCAGACACAUGUGUUGCAGUGUUUAGAUGUGGCACUAGUUACCCACUGUGGAUUCGUGGUGGACACCCAACAGUACAGGAUGGAGUCGUCACUCGAGAUGUCUGUGGUAACACUGGUGGUUUCUGCUGCUAUUACGGCUCUUAUCCUAUUGGAGUCAAAGCCUGUCCAGGAGAUUAUUAUGUCUAUGAGCUGCGCAGUCCAACUUUCUGUAACUCAGCCUACUGUGCAGAUGUUGGCAGUGUUAUCAUCAGCUCUACAGCCGCCACACCGGUGAUCAUCACACCUGAUCCCUGCUACACCUACACUGUGCUGGACGAUCCAUGGAGAGCCGACAGCAGUCAGCCAUCAAAGCCAGUGACCAAGUGUGACACUUCAGUCUCCUGGAGUGGCUGGU